rnacentral:rRNA from 1 species
ACAAGCAGCGGAGCGUGUGGUUAAUUCGAUGCUACACGAAGAACCUUACCUGGGUUUGACAUGUACGUAGUAGUGAACCGAAAGGGAACGAGCCUUCGGGCAGCGUACACAGGUGCUGCAUGGCUGUCGUCAGCUCGUGUCGUGAGAUGUUGGGUUAAGUCCCGCAACGAGCGCAACCCUUAUCAUUAGUUGCUACGCAAGGGCACUCUAAUGAGACUGCCGGUGACAAACCGGAGGAAGGUGGGGAUGACGUCAAGUCCUCAUGGCCCUUACAUCCCGGGCUACACACGUGCUACAAUGGCAGGUACAGAGGGCUGCGAAGCCGCGAGGUGGAGCGAAUCCCAGAAAACCUGUCUCAGUCCGGAUUGAAGUCUGCAACUCGACUUCAUGAAGGCGGAAUCGCUAGUAACCGCGAAUCAGCAGGUCGCGGUGAAUACGUUCCCGGGCCUU